rnacentral:rRNA from 1 species
GACGAACGCUGGCGGCGUGCUUAACACAUGCAAGUCGAACGGAAAGACCCUGCUUUUGUGGGGUGCUCGAGUGGCGAACGGGUGAGUAACACGUGAGUAACCUGCCCUUGACUUUGGGAUAACUUCAGGAAACUGGGGCUAAUACCGGAUAGGAGCUCCUGCUGCAUGGUGGGGGUUGGAAAGUUUCGGCGGUUGGGGAUGGACUCGCGGCUUAUCAGCUUGUUGGUGGGGUAGUGGCUUACCAAGGCUUUGACGGGUAGCCGGCCUGAGAGGGUGACCGGCCACAUUGGGACUGAGAUACGGCCCAGACUCCUACGGGAGGCAGCAGUGGGGAAUAUUGCACGAUGGGCGGAAGCCUGAUGCAGCAACGCCGCGUGCGGGAUGACGGCCUUCGGGUUGUAAACCGCUUUCGCCUGUGACGAAGCGUGAGUGACGGUAAUGGGUAAAGAAGCACCGGCUAACUACGUG